rfam:Streptomyces coelicolor A3(2) complete genome; segment 17/29
CCAGGUAAGUCGCCGCACCGGUCACCACCGGAGCGGCUCGGGGUGAAGCCGUACCCGUCAGGGCACGGCCGGGCACCUCCCCGCCCGAACCCGACAGCUCACCUCGCAGGCGUAAGGAGAGGGA